UAUCUAGGAGUAUCAGAUCCUCUCAUUUGAUGGAUGAAUCACUCUCCGCGUCUGUGCGAUGGAAUUAUCUUUGCAAAACUCAGAGGCUUCACAAGUGGUAAUGGAGAUGGACUGUCUGGAGAUCGUGGAUCGCUAGAGUAAUCGUCACAGCUCUCGUUUGGUCGUGGCACUUCCCGUGGUUCUACUUUUUUCGUCAACAUGUAUUAAGAACUGCCAAACAUUCGGUCCGUCUAAUCGUCUACUCCCUGAGCGGUGACGAGCAGUUGAGUGGGCUCUGCUUCUAGCUUCUUGGUAAACAGCUUGAUGGCUGAGCUCUUUUCUUGGAUUGUACUGUUGCUCGCUUUACCCUGGGAUUGUUAUGAGUAGGGGCAGGUUUUCGUACCGUAAUCGGCGCUCCAAUUGCGGACAUCAGUCAGCUGGCUUCCUGCACAUAGCAGGUUGAAAAAAAAAGUUCCACGCAAAUUAAGGAAAAACUGAUCGGUGGAGGAGAAGCCGGGACUAGCGAUCAGUUUUUGAGUUUAAACCACGCAGCAUCAUUUGUCAAACAAAAUAUCAUGGAAAUGGUUUAAAAAUGUUUAUUUGUUUCUGCUUUAUAAAUCUACCUGAAACAGCUCAGCUCUACUUAUUGCUCAGCACAAUACAAACAAACAAGAUGGCUAGAAAAAGAGAAAAAGGAACUAAAAAAGACAGCCAGUACCACAGCCAUGU